rnacentral:lncRNA from 1 species
AUCAUGGGGAGUACUACCUGAUCAUUUCUACCAACUUAAAGCCCCAAUUAAUAUACUUUUCUAUUAUCUAUUAGGCCGAAUUAGGCCGAAAUACCCUUUGUAGAUAAUUUAGAUAAUUUUCAAUCUAUUACUAAUCCUUUGUGUAUCUUGGUAUUCCUAACCAUCCACUCAUUUUUGCUUAAUCACCUGUUAGAAUUAUGGUAAUACAUAUAAAUGAUAGUGAAAACUCAAGAAAACUCAACAAGGUUGAUCUUUUGAGCCCGCUUCAAGUCAGGAUGACUAAUCAACCAAUCUUGGGGCAACCGGUCUUCUUUUUUUUUUCUGUUUUACUCUUGUACAUAGGAAAUGAGUCUCCAUUUUUUACUUCAAAUUUCGAAGUUGUUUUCUUUUACUCAUAUAACUAUCCAAUUUAGUUCAUCAACCCAAAUGAUGAAUAAAAAAUGAAGAUAUCUAUUCAUUUCGCCCUUUUCCUAAAAAGUCCUAAAAAGAAUAGGGAAAAAUUUAUGUUUCAACGAAUCACACGUAGAGAUAUGGAUAACACACAAAGACUUAAUGGUAUUUCAUAACUAAUCGAUUGAGCAGCAGCUCGUAGACCACCUAAAAAAGAAUAUUUAUUAUUGGAUCCAUAUCCUGACAUAAGAAGUCCAAUGGGAGCAAUACUUGAAAUGGCAAUCCAUAAAAAAACACCAAUAUUUAGAUCAGUUAAAACAAAGUGAUAGCCAAAAGGAAUUACUGAAUAGCUUAAUAAAGUUGAUAUGACUGCUAUGGAUGGUCCGAUACUGAAUAAACGAGUAUCUCCCCUAGAUGGAAAAAGAUUCUCUUUGAAAAGAAGUUUUGUCCCAUCCGCUAGAGCUUGAAGAACCCCUAAAGGACCGGCAUAUUCAGGUCCAAUACGUUGUUGUAUCCCUGCAGAUAUUUCUCUUUCUAACCAUACAAUUACUAGUAUGCCUAUCGUGAUUCCAAAUACAAGAAUCAAAAUAGGGACAAAGGCCCAUAGAAGUCCAUAGACCUCGUUUAAGGAUUCUAAUCUAGAAAAAGAAUUGAUAGCUUGUACUUCUGUUGUAUCAAUUAUCAUUUCAACGAUCAACUUCUCCCAUAAUGAUAUCUAUACUACCUAGUAUUGUCAUAAUAUCAGCCAAUUUCAUUCUUUUAACUAAUUGAGGAAGAAUUUGCAAAUUGAUAAAACCCGGGGGGCGAAUUUUCCAUCUCCAAGGAAAACCGCUCUGAUCCCCUAUCAGAAAAAUUCCCAAUUCUCCUUUUGGAGCUUCGACUCUCACAUAAAGUUCUUGUUUCGGUAAUUCAAAAGUAGGAGAAGUUCUUUUACUAAUGAAUCGAUAUUCGAAAUCGUUCCAUUCUGGAUCCCCUUCUUUAUCAAAACGUCGGGUUUCUAAAUUUUCAUAGGGCCCCCCCGGAAUUCCUUCCAGAGCCUGUUGAAUAAUUUUUAUAGAUUCCAUCGUUUCACCAAUUCGGACUAAAUAACGAGCUAAUGAAUCCCCUUCUUUUUGCCACUGGACUUCCCAAUCAAAUUCGUCGUAACACUCAUAACGAUCCAUUUUACGAAGAUCCCAUUGUACUCCGGAAGCUCGUAGCAUUGGUCCUGAUAACCCCCAAUUUAUUGCUUCCUCUGUACCAACAAUACCAACUCCUUCAACUCGUUCUAAAAAAAUAGGAUUUCGCGUAAUAAGUUUUUGAUAUUCAGCAACUCUUGUUAAAAAAUAAUCACAAAAAUCCAAACAUUUAUCUAUCCAGCCAUGAGGUAGAUCAGCCGCUACUCCCCCAAUACGAAAAUAAUUAUGCAUCAUUCUCAUACCAGUGGCAGCUUCGAAUAAAUCAUAUACUAACUCUCUCUCUCUAAAAAUAUAGAAGAAAGGAGUCUGUGCCCCAAUAUCCGCCAUAAAAGGGCCAAGCCAUAAUAAAUGAGAAGCUAUACGACUCAAUUCCAACAUAAUUACCCUGAUAUAGCUAGCUCUUUUAGGCACUUGAAUAUUUCCUAACAGUUCUGGGCCAUUUACUGUUAUUGCUUCUGUGAACAUAGUAGCCAAAUAAUCCCAACGUGUUACAUAGGGCAAAUAUUGUAUAAUUGUUCGAUUUUCCGCAAUUUUUUCCAUGCCUCUGUGUAAAUAACCUAAUAUUGGUUCACAGUCAAUAACAUCUUCGCCAUCUAGAGUAACGAUGAGUCGAAGAACACCAUGCAUUGAUGGGUGGUGGGGACCCAUAUUGACUAUCAUAAGGUCUUUUCGCAUAGCUGGUACAUUCAUAGGGGUUUCCUCGAUCUAUUCUUCCAUGAAUUACUGAAAACAAAAAGAAAUUCAUCUCAAGAUCUAAUAAAUCAAAUAAUUCAAAAAAACUCCUCAAUUUAUCAGUUUAACGAAUUUUUGACUCCCGAAUAUCCAACCGGCUAAUUAAUUCUUUAUAACGUACUCUCUUUUUCUUUGCUAAAUAAGACAGCGAUCGUUGACGUUUUCCUAGAAUUUUCCGCAAACCCCUCUGAGAUGAAUAGUCUUUUCUAUGCAAUUCCAAAUGUGAAGUAAGUCUUCGUAUCUUAUUAGUGAAACUUACUAUUUGAAAUUCAACGGAUUCUUUGUUUUCGUUUUUUUCUUCUUGUGAAAUAACCGAAAUGAAUGAAUUUUUUACCAUAAAAAAAGUACUUUUUUAGUUUAUUUUUUUUAGUUUAAGAUAUUUUUUAUUAAUCAGUAAUAAUAGAAAAUGUAUUAAUAAAUAAUAAUGUCAGUUCAUUUUAAUUUUGUAUACACAAUAAUCUUUCUUUGUUAAUAAUUCAAAAUCUUGUCAAAUCCAAUUUAUCCUUAAUCAAUUCCAUUUUUUUUUUAUUCAGUUAUAGAUACAAAAAGGAUGGUAUAUUUUUUCGUUUCCAAAAGAGAAAAAAAUUCUAUCUAAAAUGGAAUUGAAAGUAAAAAAGAUUCGUUUCUAGAUCUAAUUAAUACAUGAUUGAAUUCCAUAUGAAUAUGGAGUGUAAAAAAAUAACGUGCCCAUCUCCUUGUUUUCAUAUACUCGAUUAGAUAUGCUAUGGGAUAUAUAUGAAAAAUGAAAAAUGCACCUUUACUAAAACUAAAAUUGCGCCCGUGGAUAUAUAUAUAUUCUUACCAUACUGAAGCAACUGGCAUUAUUAGUAUCAAACCAAUAGCGAUUCAUACAAGCUAAAUCUUCUAAUCGAAAAUGGGGCCAAAGAAAAAAUUUGAAUUUAAUUAGUUUAUUUUUAUCUCUAUCAAAAUGUUUACUUUUAUCCAAAAUAGGACCACAGUUUUUUAUUUUAUUAACGUUGAAAAUUUCUGUAUUUAUAUGAAUAUCAUUUUUAUGAAUAUCAUUUUGGUUUUUAAAAUUGAAAGAAGUUAGAAUUCUUAAUUCUCUACGACGUUUAGGGAAUAAAAUAUUUUCAGGAACAAGUAAAUCAUAAUCAUUUUUGUCUCUAUUGCCAAUUAGACUUUGAUGUCUUUCAAUAGGUUCGGUAAAAUUCUUUUUAUCAAUAUAGAUUUUUUCUCUGUAUUUUUGAUUAAUUUGUUGUUUGUUCUUAUGAACUAAUAAGAUACCUACCGUUUGAUACAAAAGAAAUUGUCCAUUAUUUUUUACUGACAAACGAACAGGUUCGAUAAUAAAUAUUCCCUUUUUCAUCAAUUCAGUAAGAGUUAAAUCCUUCUGAACCAUCAGAAUAUUCAGACUUAUUUCUUGUCUUUGAAUAGAAGAUAUAAGAAUUUCUCGUGGAUUUGUCAGUCUAAGCAGGAGACAAUAUACUUUGAUAUUAUUGAUUAUUUUUUCAUUUAAAGAAUCAUUCCAUCUUAAUUGAAAACAUAAAUACCGUUUUAGGAAGAAAUCAAGCUCUACUUCCGUAUGACUUUUGUUUUGUUUUUUAUUUCUAUGUUUUUUCAUAUCUAAUCCCAUAUAAUCUUCUUCAAUAUUUUUUUCUUGAUUUGCGAAAACUGAUCCAAAGUCCAUUUUGUCUUUGGAUUCUUUUUCUUCGUGAUUUCGAUUCUCUAAUUCAAUGAAUUUUUUUUCAUUCGAUGAUAUAAAAAGAUCGCCGUUUUUCUUCUCGUUGAUUUUAGUAUUUUUACUAACAUUUUCAUUUCUAUGAAAAUUGAAAAGAAGAAAUUGGAUGGGUAUUGCCCAUGGUUUUAUCUUAUAUGUGUUAUAAAGUAUCACAAAUUUUCGAAAGAACCAAAGUUCAAAAUUGGAUAUGAGACGAUUUUGUAUUUCUUCAUUCAUUCCCAGCCAAUCAAAAAGGUUUUUUUUUUGAUUGGAUGAAUUGACUUCUUGAUCUUGGUGAAUUGUAAGAAAAAGAAGAUUUUUCUUAUCGAUUUUAUCAAUUAUUUGAUACUUAUUAGUCCUAGUCUUAGUAUUUUUUUUUUCUUUGCUUCCGAUAUCAAUCCAGGACUCAAUAUCGACCUUUUUUCUAAGACAAAAAUCGAGAAUUCUCCAAUCCAAAUAUUUUCUAGUCGGGCUUUUCUCCAUAUCGCUAAUAUCAUCUUCCCCUAGAUAAUUAUUGAUAGGAAUACUUUCCAACAUGUCAAAUAAUUUGCUUUUAUUUGUGUUGUAAUUAUAAGAAAUCUCUUGUUUAUUUACUUGUAAUGGGAAUCCGUAAAUAUAUGAGUUCUUCUUAUUUUCAUAAUUAAUGGAUUUAUAUGAUAAAAGAUUAUAUCUACAGUGUUUUUGAAAAUUCUUUUUUUGAUUCGGUAAUGAAUCUGCCGCAAAAUCAUUAUCAUUUUUUUUUUCGUAAUGAAUUAAUUGGUCUUUUUCAUUUAAUUGGUCUUUUUCAUAUAAAUUGAAUUUAUUAAAUUUUUUAUUUUGAACCAUAUGGUGUUGCUUGAUUCUAUUUCGCCAUUUUUGUGAUAUUAAUCUAGACCAUCUAAUCUGAGUUAAAUCAUAUUUAUAUUGAUAAUGACCCCUUAACCAGUUUUUCCAUUGAUUUAUUACGAAAUUUUGAAAAUUUUUAUCUUUUAAUUUGGAAUUAAAUAUCCCUUGGGCUCUAAAAUAAUCCUUUAUCUCAUUCUUAAGAAAAAGGCCAUGAUAUUGAAGGAUAGAUCGUAACUUAUAUAAAUUAAUAAUUUGGAUUUGUGAUAAUUUGUAAAAUACAUAUGUUUGUGACAAGGAGGAUAUAUCACAAAAAAUCUGUGAAUUGUUAUUAAUAACAGCAAUAUUACUAUUAUUAAGUAACUUUUUUAUAAUCAUAAUCGAAAGAAAGUGAAUUGUAUUUUGCUUUGUUUUAUCAAUUUUUUUGUGAUUUUUUUCAUUAUUGCAAACAUAUUUAGUAAUAAUUUUUUUUGUUGAUUCAAGAAAAAGCUGUGCAUUGAUCCUCGGAAUAUUAAUGAUACUUAAAAAGAUAUCUAUGUAUAUCCUUUGAAUCAAAAUUUUUAUAAAAAAAUGGAAUUUACGCCCUUUUAGAUAAUUUAGAUAAUUUUCAGUCUAUUACUAAUCCUUUGUGUAACUUGGUAUUCUUAACCAUCCACUCAUUUUUGCUUAAUCACCUGUUAGAAUUAUGGUAAUACAUAUAAAUGAUAGUGAAAACUCAAGAAAACUUAAUAAGCUUGAUCUUUUGAGCCCGCUUCAAGUCAGGAUGACUAAUCAACCAAUCUUGGGGCAACCGGUCUUCUUUUUUUUUUCUGUUUUACUCUUGUACAUAGGAAAUGAGUCUCCAUUUUUUACUUCAAAUUUCGAAGUUGUUUUCUUUUACUCUUUACUCAUAUAACUAUCUAAUUUAGUUCAUCAACCUAAAUGAUGAAUAAAAAAUGAAGAUAUCUAUUCAAUUCAUUUCGCCCUUUUCCUAAAAAGUCGUAAAAAGAAAAGAACAGGGAAAAAUUUAUGUUUCAAUGAAUCACAUGUAGAGAUAUGGAUCACACACAAAGACUUAAUGGUAUUUCAUAACUAAUUGAUUGAGCAGCAGCUCGUAGACCACCUAAAAAAGAAUAUUUAUUAUUGGAUCCAUAUCCUGACAUAAGAAGUCCAAUGGGAGCAAUACUUGAAAUGGCAAUCCAUAAAAAAACACCAAUAUUUAGAUCAGUUAAAACAAAGUGAUAGCCAAAAGGAACUACUGAAUAGCUUAAUAAAGUUGAUAUGAUUGCUAUGGAUGGUCCGAUACUGAAUAAACGAGUAUCUCCCCUAGAUGGAAAAAGAUUCUCUUUGAAAAGAAGUUUUGUCCCAUCCGCUAGAGCUUGAAGAACCCCUAAAGGACCGACAUAUUUAGGUCCAAUACAUUAAUGUAUCCCUAUAGAUAUUUCUCUUUCUAACCAUAGAAUUACUAGUAUGCCUAUCAUGAUUCCAAAUACAAGAAUCAAAAUAGGGACAAAGGCCCAUAAAAUUCCAUAGACCUCGUUUAAGGAUUCUAAUCUAGAAAAAGAAUUGAUAGCUUGUACUUCUGUUGUAUCAACGAUCAUUUCAACGAUCAACUUCUGCCAUAAUGAUAUCUAUACUACCUAGUAAUGUCAUAAUAUCAGCCAAUUUCAUUCUUUUAACUAAUUGAGGAAGAAUUUGCAAAUUGAUAAAACCCGGGGUCGAAUUUUCCAUCUCCAAGGAAAAUCGCUCUAAUCCCCUAUCAGGAAAAUUCCCAAUUCUCCUUUUGGAGCUUCGACUCUCACAUAAAGUUCUUGUUUCGGUAAUUCAAAAGUAGGAGAAGUUCUUUUACUAAUGAAUCGAUAUUCGAAAUCGUUCCAUUCUGGAUCCCCUUCUUUAUCAAAACGUCGGGUUUCUAAAUUUUCAUAGGGCUGCCCACCCGGAAUUCCUUCCAAAGCCUGUCGAAUAAUUUUUAUAGAUUCCAUCGUUUCACCAAUUCGGACUAAAUAACGAGCUAAUGAAUCCCCUUCUUUUUGCCACUGGACUUCCCAAUCAAAUUCGUCGUAACACUCAUAACGAUCCAUUUUACGAAGAUCCCAUUGUACUCCGGAAGCUCGUAGCAUUGAUCAUGAUAACCCCCAAUUUAUUACUUCCUCUGUACCAACAAUACCAACUCCAUCAAAUCGUUUUAAAAAAAUAGGAUUUCGUGUAAUAAGUUUUUGAUAUUCAGCAACUCUUGUUAAAAAAUAAUCACAAAAAUCAAAACUUUUAUUUACCCAGCCAUGAGGUAGAUCAGCCGCUACCCCCCCAAUACGAAAAUAAUUAUGCAUCAUUCUCAUACCAGUGGCAGCUUCGAAUAAAUCAUAUACUAACUCUCUCUCUCUCUCUAUAAUAUAGAAGAAAGGAGUUUGUAUAUCCGCUAUAAAAAUGCCAAGCCAUAAUAAAUGAGAAGCUAUAGGACUGAAUUCCAACAUAAUUACCCUGAUAUAGAUAGCUCUUUUAGGCACUUGAAUAUUUCCUAACAGUUCUGGGCCAUUUACUGUUAUUGCUUCUGUGAACAUAGUAGCCAAAUAAUCCCAACGUGUUACAUAGGGCAAAUAUUGUAUAAUUGUUCGAUUUUCCGCAAUUUUUUCCAUGCCUCUGUGUAAAUAACCUAAUAUUGGUUCACAGUCAAUAACAUCUUCGCCAUCUAGAGUAACGAUGAGUCGAAGAACACCAUGCAUUGAUGGGUGGUGGGGACCCAUAUUGACUAUCAUAAGGUCUUUUCGCAUAGCUGGUACAUUCAUAGGGGUUUCCUCGAUCUAUUCUUCCAUGAAUUACUGAAAACAAAAAGAAAUUCAUCUCAAGAUCUAAUAAAUCAAAUAAUUCAAAAAAACUCCUCAAUUUAUCAGUUUAACGAAUUUUUGACUCCCGAAUAUCCAACCGGCUAAUUAAUUCUUUAUAACGUACUCUCUUUUUCUUUGCUAAAUAAGACAGUGAUCGUUGACGUUUUCCUAGAAUUUUCCGCAAACCCCUCUGAGAUGAAUAGUCUUUUCUAUGCAAUUCCAAAUGUGAAGUAAGUCUUCGUAUCUUAUUAGUGAAACUUACUAUUUGAAAUUCAACGGAUUCUUUGUUUUCGUUUUUUUCUUCUUGUGAAAUAACCGAAAUGAAUGAAUUUUUUACCAUAAAAAAAGUACUUUUUUAGUUUAUUUUUUUUAGUUUAAGAUAAUUUAAGAUAUGUUUGAUUGAUCAGUAAUACUAGAAAAUGUAUUAAUAAAUAAUAAUGUCAGUUCAUUUUAAUUUUGUAUACACAAUAAUCUUUCUUUGUUAAUAAUUCAAAAUCUUGUCAAAUCCAAUUUAUCCUUAAUCAAUUCCAUUUUUUUUUUAUUCAGUUAU